UCCGGUUUGUCACCGGCAGUCUGAAGUGAGUCCCCAACUUAAUGCUGGCAACACUUCACGGGGGUUGCGCUCGUUGCGGGACUUAACCCAACAUCUCACGACACGAGCUGACGACAACCAUGCACCACCUGUGCACGGCCCUUACGGACCCCCAUCUCUGGGGGCUUCCCGUGUAUGUCAAACCCAGGUAAGGUUCUUCGCGUUGCAUCGAAUUAAUCCGCAUGCUCCGCCGCUUGUGCGGGCCCCCGUCAAUUCCUUUGAGUUUCGGUCUUGCGACCGUACUCCCCAGGCGGAGUGUUUCACGCGUUAGCUGGGCCCCUGAUCCACGUAGACCAAGGGCGAACACUCAUCGUUUACGGCAUGGACUAC
rnacentral:misc_RNA from 1 species